rnacentral:rRNA from 1 species
UACGAAGGGGGCUAGCGUUGUUCGGAAUCACUGGGCGUAAAGCGCACGUAGGCGGCUAUGUAAGUUGGGGGUGAAAUCCCGGGGCUUAACCUCGGAAUUGCCUCCAAAACUACAUAGCUAGAGUCUUGGAGAGGGUGGCGGAAUUCCUAAUGUAGAGGUGAAAUUCGUAGAUAUUAGGAGGAACACCAGUGGCGAAGGCGGCCACCUGGACAAGUACUGACGCUGAGGUGCGAAAGCGUGGGGAGCAAACAGG